GACGAACCGUGCAAACGUUAUUCGGAAUCACUGGGCUUAAAGCGCGUGUAGGCGGGCCCCUGCGUCGGCCGCUGAAAGCCCCCGGCUCAACCGGGGAAGCGGCGCCGAUACGAGCGGCCUGGAGGGGGGUAGGGGGACCUGGAACUUCCGGUGGAGCGGUGAAAUGCGUUGAGAUCGGAAGGAACGCCCGUGGCGAAAGCGAGGUCCUGGACCCUUUCUGACGCUGAGACGCGAAAGCCAGGGGAGCGAACGGG
rnacentral:rRNA from 1 species